UUGGAGGGCAAGUCUGGUGCC
rnacentral:ncRNA from 2 species